GACGAACGCUGGCGGCGUGCUUAACACAUGCAAGUCGAACGGAAAGGCCCUGCUUUUGUGGGGUGCUCGAGUGGCGAACGGGUGUGUAACACGUGAGUAACCUGCCCUUGACUUUGGGAUAACUUCAGGAAACUGGGGCUAAUACCGGAUAGGAGCUCCUGCUGCAUGGUGGGGGUUGGAAAGUUUCGGCGGUUGGGGAUGGACUCGCGGCUUAUCAGCUUGUUGGUGGGGUAGUGGCUUACCAAGGCUUUGACGGGUAGCCGGCCUGGGGGGGUGAGCGGCCACAUUGGGACGGAGAUACGGCCCAGACUCCUACGGGAGGCAGCAGUGGGGAAUAUUGCACAAUGGGCGGAAGCCUGAUGCAGCAACGCCGCGUGCGGGAUGACGGCCUUCGGGUUGUAAACCGCUUUCGCCUGUGACGAAGCGUGAGUGACGGUAAUGGGUAAAGAAGCACCGGCUAACUACGUG
rnacentral:rRNA from 1 species